rnacentral:rRNA from 1 species
CGAAGGGGGCUAGCGUUGUUCGGAAUUACUGGGCGUAAAGCGCGCGCAGGCGGUCUUCCAAGUCAGUGGUGAAAGCCCGGAGCUCAACUCCGGAACUGCCAUUGAAACUGUAAGACUUGAGGACGAGAGAGGUGAGUGGAAUUCCCAGUGUAGAGGUGAAAUUCGUAGAUAUUGGGAAGAACACCGGUGGCGAAGGCGGCUCACUGGCUCGUAUCUGACGCUCAGGCGCGACAGCGUGGGGAUCAAACAGGAUUAGAUACCCUGGUAGUCCACGCCGUAAACGAUGAAUGCUAGCCGUUGGGCAGCUUGCUGUUCAGUGGCGCAGCUAACGCAUUAAGCAUUCCGCCUGGGGAGUACGGCCGCAAGGUUG